rnacentral:lncRNA from 1 species
CAGAUUACCCAGGCCUUGCACCUGGAUCAAUGGGCUGCCCUAAUGAAGGAUAUCAAAAAUGAAGGGGCAGCUAAAGAAAAAUAAAAGACACCUCAGAAAGUAGCCUGCCUCUUUGACAAGGGACAUGCCUUCAGAGGAACAUAACAGAAACCUCUGAGAAUUGUCAACAAUAAAAAGACUGAGCAACAAGGGAAACUGGUAGGAAGCCAAAGGUUUUAAGAGGUGAGAGUGGAGAAAUGCUGUGCUUUUAUUGAUCCUCUCCAAAGGAACACCUUUAAAAAAGGAUGAUAUAAAUUGGCACUAAUCCUCAUAAGAGAAGAAUGUCAGCCAAGCCAGUGAAGGAAUUUUGGAGUUCGCUUUGAAGACUUAUGCACUCUCCAGCUGGUCACAGACACUACACUCACCCAUUUUGUAAAUACACUUUUUUUUGUUUUGUUUUUUAAGCUUCUCACUUCAGUAUCUACCAGACAGGCUUGUGCAAGGAGUGAACUAGUAUUGUAUCUGUUAAUUUCUUUGCAGGCAAAAAUCAAGUUACCAGGAAAAUAUUUUUUAAAAACCACGAACAGUCUAAGAGCACUGAACAUUUUGAAUCAUUUGCCUUUUCUCAACACUGGAUUUUAAGCAAGGAACAAGACUAUUCCAGUUCUAAAUGCUUUAAUGAACAAGGGGUAUUGGGUUUUAGCAUCAACAUGAUCUAUCCUCACUCUGAAGCUUUAACUUGAGUAGCUGCUGUGCUUUGUAAAGCUUCAAUCCAAUUCAUUUGAUAACUACAAUUACCAAAUCUGGGCAUUGCUGACUACACAGUUCAAAAAAACAGCAUGGAGGGAAGACCUGCUGAGAACCUUAGAAUCUAUCGAUAAGCUCUUGAAAUGGUUUAAAGUAAUAAACCACUUCAAUUGAAAGGGCAAUAAAAUGUUUUUCGUGUAUAUAUGUACAUAAGCUCAUCAGUGUGAAGAUUAUUGAUGCCAGCAAGUGAAUUAAAGGAAUUAAAGUCAGAAUUCCCAUUAUCACAUUCAACAAGUAUCGAAUGAGCAUCUUCUAUAUGC